AUGAACGCUGGCGGCGUGCCUAAUACAUGCAAGUCGAGCGAACAGACGAGGAGCUUGCUCCUCUGACGUUAGCGGCGGACGGGUGAGUAACACGUGGAUAACCUACCUAUAAGACUGGGAUAACUUCGGGAAACCGGAGCUAAUACCGGAUAAUAUAUUGAACCGCAUGGUUCAAUAGUGAAAGACGGUUUUGCUGUCACUUAUAGAUGGAUCCGCGCCGCAUUAGCUAGUUGGUAAGGUAACGGCUUACCAAGGCGACGAUGCGUAGCCGACCUGAGAGGGGGUCCGGCCACAGUGGAGAGGAGCCACGGGCGGCACCCAUACGGGGGGGCACAGUGGGAAACGGUCCGCAAGGGGCGAAGGUCUGAGGGAGAAGCGCAGGGGGAGUGAGAAGGGUUUUGGGUCCGAAAACCUUUUUUUUGGGGAAAAAACAAAUGUGAAAGUAACUAGGCGCGUCUUGACGGGCCAAAAAAGAAAGGCAAGGACAAAGUCGGGC
rnacentral:rRNA from 1 species